UACGUAGGGUGCGAGCGUUAAUCGGAAUUACUGGGCGUAAAGCGUGCGCAGGCGGCUUUGCAAGACAGAUGUGAAAUCCCCGGGCUUAACCUGGGAACUGCAUUUGUGACUGCAUGGCUGGAGUGCGGCAGAGGGGGAUGGAAUUCCGCGUGUAGCAGUGAAAUGCGUAGAUAUGCGGAGGAGCACCGAUGGCGAAGGCAAUCCCCUGGGCCUGCACUGACGCUCAUGCACGAAAGCGUGGGGAGCAAACAGG
rnacentral:rRNA from 1 species